AGUUUAUUUUAGGGUAAUAUUAGAUAACCAAAUAAAACAUACAAAUUAAGAAACUAGUAGAGAGAAAGUUUUUUGUUACAAAAUAACCAUGGACCCAUGUUGUCGGAAGAAAUGAAAUAACAAAGCUACCUUUCAUUUGUUGUAAGAUGAACUGUAAACGAAACACAUUCGUGUAAUUUUUCAAAAUAACAUGUAACAUUAAAAUUUCACAUGUUAUAUUUAGUUUUAAAACAUGCUAUUUAAAAAAACGUCAU
rnacentral:sRNA from 1 species